rnacentral:rRNA from 1 species
GAUGAACGCUGGCGGCGUGCCUAAUACAUGCAAGUCGAACGAAACUUCUUUAUCACCGAGUGCUUGCACUCACCGAUAAAGAGUUGAGUGGCGAACGGGUGAGUAACACGUGGGCAAUCUGCCCAAAAGAGGGGGAUAACACUUGGAAACAGGUGCUAAUACCGCAUAACCAUAGUUACCGCAUGGUAACUAUGUAAAAGGUGGCUAUACUACCGCUUUUGGAUGGGCCCGCGGCGCAUUAGCUAGUUGGUAGGGUAAAGGCUUACCAAGGCAAUGAUGCGUAGCCGAAUUGAGAGGUUGAUCGGCCACAUUGGGACUGAGACACGGCCCAAACCCCUACGGGAGGCAGCAGUAGGGAAUCUUCCACAAUGGGCGAAAGCCUGAUGGAGCAACGCCGCGUGGGUGAAGAAGGUCUUCGGAUCGUAAAACCCUGUUGUUAGAGAAGAAAGUGCGUGAGAGUAACUGUUCACGUUUCGACGGUAUCUAACCAGAAAGCCACGGCUAACUACGUG